rnacentral:lncRNA from 1 species
CUACCCCCUCCAGCCACCCCCCGCCCUGCACACACAACAUGGCAGCAGGGGGAAGGAGGGAGGCGAGCUAGAGAGUGAGAGAGUGAGAGGGAGAAAUAGAGAGAGAGGCUGCCGCGGCUGACAGGGAAUACUGGUGCCAUUUUCACAUCGCGGGAAGGAUUCAUUCCUGCUCCGCUCGGCUCCGCUGUGGAAGAAGGGAACGAGGGAAGAAGGGAACGAGGGAAGGAGGAAAAAGAGGAGAAGAAAGGAGGCUGACAACUAUAAAACAGGGAGGGUUUGAGAGGAUGCUGCUAGAUGACUGUUGCUAACCCAGGGCUGUCUUACUCUUGUGGUAGAGCAAAAGGACGCAGCAUUGCAGAGGUGGGUGCAGUGUGUGUGGGCAGUGGAAAUGUCUGUGUUAGGUGCGGUGUGUCUC